CCAUCCGGUUUGCUCAAUUCAACCUCUGGGUGUUUUACAUAGGGGGAAGUGUCUGAGGGAAAACGUUUAUCAAACAUGAUGCAUUGGCAGGUUAAAUAGAAAAGAUGGAGUGACUAUUCAAAACCAUGGAAGAGAUUAUUUCAAAUGAGGGCACAAACUGACCGCCCGUGCGUCACACCUGGGAGCUGAGCUGAAGCCCAUGAUUUGAUCCGCGAGCCAAUAGACGCCAGAACGAGCAGACCAUGGGCUAAUAGAAUAGUGUCACAUGAAGUUUCGAUUACAAGCCAGACCAAGGGACUCACUAACUGUUCACUACAGGUCUUAAAGGGAUCGAGACACAUGGAAAACAUCAGGUUGGGUCACCACAGCAACCUUGGAUGGAGGCGAAAUAAGAGGACAGGGCGAUCGCUCAUUAUGGCUUUUGCUUGGAUUCUGUGGAAUUCUGUUGAAAACUAUUUUAGAAAUCCAUAGGACUGCUCAACAGAAACUCAUCCCUCAUCUGGAAAGAAUAGGAAUUACACCUCGCAUGCAGUCAUCUAGUUUUAACAGAUUCCAACAUACUGCCACAACUGUGCAGAUUAUUUGGCUAAGAGGACCACUGGAACACAAACAUGUCGUGAUGUGUCAGGAAUUAAUGGACAUUGUUGGCAGAGAUGGCUGUGAUUUUGUGAUUAUUAGAUUACUACCUGGACAGAAUGCAUUCGAAUACUACCUCUACUACAACUGCCUCUACAUAUGAGAUUAGACAAGACGAGACCAGAGCAUGGGCUAUCAAAAGAUGAUGAAGGCCUCUGAAAUUAUGAACUGACAUAGUUUCAUGGGUUUGUGUUGCAAAAGUUCAGGAAUUCAUUUGAAACACUCAAUAUGAAGUGAUCACAUACUCAUGUAUUCCUUUAAUAACAUUUAGGCUUUGUGUGAUUCUGUGACUAAAUCUAUUCUGUAUUCUUGAUUAAGCCUUCUAAUAAGCUUAAUUUGGCUACAUCAGUGUGUCGUUUAUAAGGUAUGUUUCCAAGAUAUUAAUCCUAAUUGGAUCAAUGCAAUUGUUUUAAUUGGCUUGAUAAUGUUUGCAUAUGACGUUGGAGAGCCUUCUUCGGUAUUUGUGUUGUAAUGUUUCUACUACAGGUUUUAUAAUCUGUGACGCCGUUGGCAUUCCAUUGUUGGUUUUUGGCAGUGUGGCAUGGCCGGUUUUGAGUGGUGUUCUCUCGGUCUGCUAUCAAUUUACUGGAACACUUAAAACUCCAAAGAAGGCUACUGACUCAUGUUUGGUCUACUUGGAUAUCUUCCCAUGAUAUGGAACAAUUCUGGAUUACAUACUGUAGAUGUAUUAUUGCAUUGACUUCUUUUCUUUUUACUUUAUAAAUAUGUGACACCUUAUAGUAUACUAUAGACUGUUCUCUAUGCUACAGCAUGGCAAGUGUUUAUUAUCUAUCUAUCUAUCUAUCCUGUUGCUGAGACACUUUAUCCCUACCAAUUUGUACAUACAGUGCAUUCAGAAAGUAUUCAAACCACUUGACCUUUUCAACAUUUUGUUACGUUAUAGCCAGACCAGCUGACCAGACGGGACACGUCGCAUGCGCGAGCGUCGCAAAAUAAAUGUAGAAUUAUUGCACCCACACUGCUCACGCGCGCCAACUAGCGUCUGCGAUGCCAAGGGCUAAAAUAGAAGUAAUUCCUAUUUCUGACGCAGAUCGCGCUGAAAGUCCUGCCUCUCCCAUCUCCUCAUUGGUUUAUAGAAGCAGCUACCCACGUGCCAUCUCCUCAUUGGUUAUACCCACGUGGGUGAUUGAAAGACUAACUGUUUUGCCGGUCAUUGUGGUAAUACUGAGAAAGUUUAGAUGCCAAUCACCAUAUAAGUUCAAAGAUGAAAAAGCCUGGAAGGAGGAGAGAUGACUAGAAACGAUUCAGUCGGCAGUUUUAUGUGUGGAUUAAUUGGCGGAGUAGAGGAGCUUGUGCAUUUCAGGUAAAAUAACAACUCAAUGUUUAUAUCCCAGGACAAAUUAGCUAGCAACAGCAAGCUAGCUAAAUAGGACAAAUUAGCUAGCAAGUGCAAGCUAACUAGCUAAAUUGCCAUACAUGUUUAAUGCUUUUCGACCUGUCCCCAAAUUAAUGUCAUUGGUUCAGAGUUUGUUUUGAUAUUUUAACCUGGUGACAUUUGGCGUUUGGUGUAGGGGGACAAAAUAAAUGUAUGCACGAUGGCGCAUGCGCGCAGCCAGUUUGGGUUCCGUGUUACUCUAAAAUUGAUUAAAUUGUUUUUUCUCAUCAUCAAUAUACACAACAUACCCCGUAAUGACAAAGCAAAAACAGGUUUUUAGAAAUAUCACUUUUACAUACAGUACCAGUCAAAAGUUUGGACACACUUCCUCAUUCAAGUUUUUCUUUAUUUUUUACAUUGUAGAUAAAUAGUGAAGAAAUCAAAACUAUGACAUAACACAUAUGGAAUCAUGUAGUAACCCAAAAAGUGUUAAACAAAUUAGAUUCUUCAAAGUAGCAACCCUUUGCCUUGAUGACAGCUUUGCACACUCUUGGCAUUCUCUCAACCAGCUUCAUGAGGUCAUCACAUGGAAUGCAUUUCAAUUAACAGGUGUGCCUUGUUAGAAAUGUAUUUGUGUAAUUUCUUUCCAUCUUAAUGCGUUUCAGCCAAUCAGUUGUGUUGUGACAAGGUAGGGGUGGCAUACAGAAGAUAGCCCUAUUUGGUAAAAGACCAAGUACAUAUUAUAGUAAGAACAGCUCAAAUAAGCAAAGAGAAAUGACAGUCCAUCAUUACUCUAGGACAUGAAGGUCAGUCAAUCUGGAAAAUCAUGGAGAAAACAAUAAAAUAAAGAAAACCCUGAAAUGAGUAGGUGUGUCCAAACUUUUGAAUGUUACUGUAAAUAUUCAGACCUUUACUCAGUACUAAGUUGAAGCACCUUUGGCAGUGAUUACAGCCUCAAAUCUUCUUGGGUAUGACGCUACAAGCUUGGCACACCUGUAUUUGAUGAGUUUCUCCCAUUCUUCUCUGCAGAUUCUCUCAAGCUCUAUCAGGUUGGAUGGGGAGUGUCGCUGCACAUCUAUUUUCAGGUCUCUCCAGAGAUGUUUGAUCGAGUUCAAGCCCAGGCUGGGGCUGGGCCACUCAAGAAUAUUCAAAGACUUGCCCCGAAGCUACUGUGUGCUUAGGGUCAUUGUCCUGUUGGAAGGUAAACUUUCACCCCAAUCUGAGGUCCUGAGCGAUCUGGAGCAGUUUUUCAUCAAGUUUCUCUCUGUACUUGGCUCCGUUCAUCUGCCACCACCAUGCUUCACCGUAGGGAUGGUGCCAGGUUUCCUCCAGAUGUGACGCUUGGCAUUCAGGCCAAAGAGUUCAACCUUGGUUUCAUUAGACCAGAGAAUCUUGUAGAGUCUGGCCAAUCUACCAUAAUGGCCUGAUUGGUGGAGUGCUGCAGAGAUGGUUGUCCUUCUGGAAGGUUCUCCCAUCUCCACAGAGGAACUCCAUAUAAGAAUGGAGGCCAUUCUGUUCUUGAGGACCUUCAAUGUUGCAGACAUUUUUUGGUACCCUUCCCCAGAUCUGUGCCUCGACACCAUCCUGUCUCGGAGCUCUACAGAGAAUUCCUUCGACCUCAUGGCUUGGUUUUUGCUCUGACAUGCACUGUCAGCUGUGCAACCCUAUAUAGACAGGUGAGUGCCUUUCCAAAUCAUGUCCAAUCAAAAGAUUUUACCACAGGUGGACUCCAAUCAAGUUGUAGAAUCAUCUGAAGGAUGAUCAAGAGAAACAGGAUGCACCUGAGCUCAAUUUCGAGUCUCAUAGCAAAGGGUCUGAAUACUCAUGUAAUGAAGCUUAUUUCCAUUUUCUAUUUUUAAUACAUUUGCAAACAUUUCUACAAACCUGUUUUCGCUCGUCAGUAUGGGGCAAUGUGUGAUUGAUGAGGAAAAAAUACAUAUUUGAUCAAUUUAAGAAUAAGGCUGUAACGUAACAAAAUGUGUAAAAGGGAAGGGGUCUGAUAACUUUCCGAAUGCACUGUAUCUAAGUAAUUUACCUCGUACCCCUGCACAUCGACUCUGUACUUGUAAGUACCCCGUGUAUAUAGCCAAGUUAUCAUUACUCAUUAUGUACUUUUUUCCCUCUGCAUUGUGGGUAAGUUUCUCUACACCUUUUCUACAUCUUUUCAUUAUGAAGCAUUUGACAAUAAAAUGUGAUUUGUAGUAUUGAACAUUUUGAUAAGGACAAAUAUUAUUGACCCCAGAGUUGUAUAGUAACAACAUUUUAUUUUUAAUUCAUUGCACUUCUCCUCUGAUGUUUUCAUGUCAAGUAUUUCUAGUAUAAUUUUACACAGCACAGGCUUGAAGGGACAGAAGCUUUGAAGUCAUGCCCACCUAUUUUAUAACCUGCAACAACCAUGGGUUGUGCUUUUUGAGAGCAACUCAGAGCGUGGAGAAUCCCCAUUGAGCUGUACCCCUCAGAUAUAUAAGUUCAGAAUAUGUGUAUAUGUAGUGUUGCUUUUUCACCUCUGUUAGGGUUAGUGUGUGCUGUCCUUGUUCAUACAAGAAUGCUGUGGCCGGGCCAGCCCAGAAAAGUGUGCUCUGGGACAUUCAAGGCCUGCUAUCGAGAGGCAGUGUGAUAUCAUUUUCCGGCAAACCAGAAAUCAAGGCCUUGGACAGACCUUUUCUAUGUCAGGGAUAGGGGUAGUGUAUGUUUUCUGACAGUUGCUCCUUUCAAGAUUAAUGGGUUUAUGAGAACCGUGUGUCUUCCUCCAAAAGCCAAGCUCAAAAUCUGUCAGUGUUACCAGCAGCAUAAUAGUGAAGUCCUGACAUUGGAAUCCAAAAGACAGAGUGAGUUUUGAUGUCACAACAGAACAGAACAUUGUCUCUAUACUGUGUGUGUGCUCAUGUGUGUAUGUGUUUUAAAGACUUAUGUUUGGUAUAGCCAUCUUGAUUUUGUUAUAUUAGGGACGGAAAAAGCGAACCACUUUUGUUCCAUGUGUUGACCUUCGUCUGUAACAACUUUAACAAUAGGAUUGAUAUCUGUAGGGAUGGUAAAAAUAUAGAUUUUUAGCAAUGUAGGUUCAGCAUCUUUGAGUUGUUAUAUCAUGCACUCCAAAAUGAAAACAGUUGCAUAAAACUUCAGGUUUGGUUUAAGUUUCUGUAGGUGACUUUAUCAUUCUUGUUUACUCUGGAGAUGAAGAGUAAUUACAGUAAAUUACAUCCGACCAAAUAAUUGAUGUAUGAUUCAUUUUUUAAUAUUGUUAUCAUGUACUUAUACCACUGAAUGCAACAGCAUUUCACUUAUCUGUAAUUGGUUUCACAUCAUUGGAUUUUUAUUUCUUUUAAAGUAGAAAGCAGAAAAACACAAGCCCUUUUGAUCUGGUGAUCAUGGACACAAGAGUGGUCUGAACCCCGGAGAGUCACCGUUAAAUUGGUGGCUCAAGAUGAGGACUAAUCGUCUCCCGUACAGGCUUUAGGGCUGGAUUCAAUCCGUAUCGCCCAAUAUCACGGAAGAUACACAUUAUAGCUCGAUUGAAAUUUAAAGUCAAUGUUCCCACGUUUGUGGAGACUGUGUUCACAUGAAAUGCUGCAUAUUUCGGCUCAAUCGUAAAUUACCUUUACAUUUUCACACAGAUCGUUCACGAUACUUCAGCGAUACAGAUUGAAUCCAGCACUUAGUUGCUGUGGGUGGAUGUGAAAUCUAGGGUGAUCAGGAGGCAAGGCACUGGCAUCCAGGCAGCCUUGUUGUAUCUGUGUGGACCUCAGUGAACCACUGCCAGACACCCAUAAAUACGUUCCCUUAUUUCUAACAUGGCGUGGAUGCCAGUUGGGGCUAGAAGUGGGUUUGUUUUGGGUGUUCUCAAUGUAUUCCCGCCAGCGCCUCACUUCCACGUUUCUCAUAAGAGAGCCACUGACUUCCUGAAAUGCAUAUGUAUUCAUACUGGUAGUCGUCUGUCAUUUCAGUGAUUUGUUGAAAGCUGCAUAAGUUAAGUCCAGUGUCUGUACAAAGGAGACCUGUUUGUCCAGACACACAUGGAUUAAUCAACUAGACAUCCCACAUUCACAAAGUGUAGUGUCACAUAAAUGCAGAAUCAACAUGAAUUUGAACCUCAACUAUAUGUUUAGUAAUCCUAGCCCUGGGUAUUCAAAUCAGUAUUGAAUGUGGAACCAGCUGAAUCUUACUUACAGUCAGUUUAGAGUAUUUAGAAUUGACUACUCAUUAAAAAAGUUAUUUGCAUUCUAGAAAAUAACUCUUGAAUAACACUUACUUUAACACUUAAACUUAAGUAACACUUGAACAAUUGCAGAAUCCAAAUUAGAUUUAAUUUCAUAGUAUUUGAAAUACAGUGCACACAUGAUUUAAUAAGUCUUCUUUUAAACCUUCCAAAAUGGGGGACCGUAGCUCACUCAUACAAGUGGCGAAAUGCCUGACAUGUUUGCAUAGAAUAGGGACAGGCAGGACUGCAUCCAAGCCUGGACUUGCUGGCCAAGACAAAACACAAACAUACACACACACACCCAAACACACAAGUAGAUGGAGGGUGCAUACUGCAGAAAUCACAUUUACAUCAUUUACAUUUAAGUCACUACUUUAGAAUUACAGAUAGAGGAUCUUAUUUUGACACAUCAAAUAUAUAUAUAUAUAUAUAUAUAUAUUAUCACAUCAAAAUAAUCCUGCAGCAACAGGAUAUGAACGUUUAGUCCAUAAUGUUGCUUGAUUGGUGGUUAGGAUGUAAACUGGUCAAAUUUAGGCUCCAUGGAAUGUGCAAUACCAAUAUAAACAUGUGUUAGUGCAGGUGUCACGUCCUGACCUUAGUUCCUUUUUUAUGUCUCUAUUUUAGUUUGGUCAGGGCAUGAGUUGGGGUGGGCAUUCUAUGUUUUGUGUUCUAUGUUUUCUAUCUCUAUGUGUUUGGCCUGGUAUGGUUCCCAAUCAGAGGCAGCUGGCAAUCGUUGUCUCUGAUUGAGAACCAUACUUAGGUAGCCUGUUUUCCCAUUUUUGAGUUGUGGUUGAUUGUUUUCUGUUUUGUAUGAGUAUUUUAAUAUCCAUGCCUGUUCCAAUGUUAGACGUCCAUUUCCCAGCAUAUUUUCAGACAAAAAUAAUACUUAUUAGCGACGUUACAAGUGUGACCUCUGAUCAUAAACGUAUCUGGAAUAAAGAUAAAUAAACUAACUUUACAGAGAGAGAGGGUGUGUGAGGCUGUUGCGUUUUGUUCUACUUUUGUUUCAGUGUUCCGGUUAUAAUAAACAACAUGGACACUUACCACGCUGCGCAUUGGUCCGAUAUUUCCUACUCCUCUUCAUAAGAGGAGGAGAAUCGUUACAGCAGGUUUUCAGUGAAUAUUUGUAAAUCCCAAAGCUCAUCUGCAUUCCCUGCAGCUCAGGGACAUUCAGUGACAACAGAGUGAUCAAAUUAAGAUAAUCUGUAUGUGCUAUAAUUGAGUUGGGCCCUGGAUUGAGUUAGCCCCGGCACAGUGCAAUGUGAUUAAAAAUCCCCUUCUAAACAUACAGCCACACACCGCCACUUUACCCCAUCAGCAGUGAGAGGCUGUUCAGUUUACCUCAUUGUGAAAUGUCCAAAAGCAGAGCAUAUACAGUAUGUCCUAAUAGAUGGACAGGGCAAUAAGAGAAUACCGGUGGGACAUUUUUGAAUGUUUGAAAUGAGAAACAAACAAACUGCCAUGAUGCCUCUGUUGGCUGUAUCAGGGAAUGCUACGGGAUAGAACAGAUAUGACAGGAGAGGAGGUGAGCUGUAGCUGAAAGCACAUGACAACCUGUAUAACAAGAAGUUCUCUAGGUUUGCACACCUUCCCCCAAACACAUCCUAACCUUCAACUGCUGUACCAGGAGCCUGUUGUGCUUGUUGUUCCUGAAAAGUCUUUAUAUGCCUGGACACUGGACAAGGCUGAGAGCUCUGUGUGAUUCAGUUACAAAACCUAUAGGGGGUGUAGUCGCAGAUUAGCUGCGCUCUGUAUUCCCAUUUACUGACCGUGGGGUGCAGCGGACAAGAUGCAUUCUUUGACAAAAUAGUCUACAUUAAAGAGAAUCAUUUGAAUCUGUUUCAUUUUGUGCUGUGUAAUGAAAUGGGUAAUGAUCAGAAUAUGCAGCACCUCAGAAAGUAUUCAUACCCCUUGACUUAUUACACAAUUUGUUGUGUUACAGCCUGAAUUCAAAAUGGAUUAAAUAAAAACUAUUCUCACCCAUCCACACACAAUACCCCAUAUUGACAAAGUGAAAACAUGUUUUUAGACAUUUUAGCAAAUGUAUUGAAAAUGAAACACCGAAAUAUCUCAUUUACAUAAACAUUCACAUCCCUGAGUCAACACAUGUUAAAAUCACCUUUGCCAGCGAUUACAGCUGUGAGUCUUUCUGGGUGAGUCUCUAAGAGAUUUGCACACCUGGAUUGUACAAUAUUUGCACAUUAUUCUUUUAACAAUUCUUCAAGCUCUGUCAAGUUGGUUGUUGAUCAUUGCUAGACAGCCAUUUUCAUGUCUUGCCAUAGAUUUUCAAGCUGAUUUAAGUCAAAACUGUAACUAGGCCACUCAGGAACAUUCAAUGUAAUCUUGGUAAGCAACUCCCGUGUAUAUUUGUCUUGUG